CACUACUUCUGAAGAUUUUAGAAUUUCUCAGGAUGUAUUUGCAGCAUUGGUUGUUGCCAGUUAUGACAGAUCUUAGCCACAUUUGUGAUGGUAUGGAAUAUUGACAGUGGCUUGGGACCAAGAUAUUGUGAAGAUUCCGCGCACGUCUUGGAUAUAUGUGGAUUAAGGAUGAUUUUAAGAUGUUAAUCUUGGUUCAAAAUCUGCCAGUAGCAUUCCAAAAUAUUAACACUGGCAUCCUUGACUACAGUCUCUUCCUCCACAGGGACCAUCUUAUGACUUGUAACCCUUUUUCCUUGAGAGUCUCAGGCUUAUCUGCCUCCUGUCUCACAGCUGUUAGAUUAGGAUGUCAGUGUUUCCCUGAGAAAGGAAGUCGGAUUAAU